GGGUGCUCCUCAGCUACGUUCUACACAGGACAGACUGCAGAGUGAGGAUGUCUAAGGCUGUAGUUUUGAUUGGAUGGUCUGUUUCCUUAGCGACAGGACUGUGUUGUAUAUGGCCUCUAUUACUACUAUCACCAUGGUUGCAAUGCACCCCUUGGCACCAAGUGUGAUUAACGUGGCCUUAAAUCACUUUUCCUGGAGUGUCGCCCUGGCCUGGGUUAUAUUUGCCUGUGCUACUGGAUAUGGAGAUAUGCUAUUUCACUGGUAUGUUGGUUCUGUUUUCCGGUGCUGCCUACAUCGUAUCUAUGGCAGAAGAGGCUCCGAUGAUCGGUCUGGAAAAAAUUCUUAUGAAGGAACUCUCAACACAAAUUCAAAAGUGCUGUGAGCAAAAUCACAGUAUUAACAACGGCCAGUGAAAAUAUGAUUCUUUACAGUUUACUGUUAUAAGUUCAUGUGAAUAAAA
rnacentral:misc_RNA from 1 species